GAACGAACGCUGGCGGUAUGCUUAACACAUGCAAGUUAAACGGGUUCAUUUAGGGCUUGCUCUAGAUGAAUACAGUAGCAAACGGGUGAGUAAUACGUAGGAAUCUGCCCAUCAGUACGGAAUAACAUUCAUACCGAAUGCUAAUACCGUAUAUUCUCCGAGGAGGAAAGAUUUAUCGCUGAUGGAUGAGCCUACGUCAGAUUAGGUAGUUGGUGGGGUAAAGGCCUACCAAGCCUGUGAUCUGUAGCUGGUCUGAGAGGAUGGUCAGCCACACUGGGACUGAGACACGGCCCAGACUCCUCCGGGAGGCAGCAGUGGGGAAUAUUGGACAAUGGGCGAAAGCCUGAUCCAGCAAUACCGCGUGAAUGAUGAAGGCCUUAGGGGUUGUAAAGUUC
rnacentral:rRNA from 1 species